rnacentral:rRNA from 1 species
UACGUAGGCAGCAAGCGUUGUUCGGAGUUACUGGGCGUAAAGGGUGCGUAGGCGGCUUUUUAAGUUUGGUGUGAAAUCUCCCGGCUCAACUGGGAGGAUGCGCCGAAUACUGAGAGGCUAGAGUGUGGGAGAGGAAAGUGGAAUUCCUGGUGUAGCGGUGAAAUGCGUAGAUAUCAGGAGGAACACCGGUGGUGUAAACGGCUUUCUGGACCAUAACUGACGCUGAGGCACGAAAGCGUGGGUAGCAAACAGG